rnacentral:rRNA from 1 species
GACGCUAGCGGGAUGCUUUACACAUGCAAGUCGAACGGCAGCACGAGAGAGCUUGCUCUCUUGGUGGCGAGUGGCGGACGGGUGAGUAAUAUAUCGGAACGUGCCCAGUAGCGGGGGAUAACUACUCGAAAGAGUGGCUAAUACCGCAUACGCCCUACGGGGGAAAGGGGGGGAUCGCAAGACCUCUCACUAUUGGAGCGGCCGAUAUCGGAUUAGCUAGUUGGUGGGGUAAAGGCUCACCAAGGCAACGAUCCGUAGCUGGUUUGAGAGGACGACCAGCCACACUGGGACUGAGACACGGCCCAGACUCCUACGGGAGGCAGCAGUGGGGAAUUUUGGACAAUGGGGGAAACCCUGAUCCAGCCAUCCCGCGUGUAUGAUGAAGGCCUUCGGGUUGUAAAGUACUUUUGGCAGAGAAGAAAAGGUAUCUCCUAAUACGAGGUACUGCUGACGGUAUCUGCAGAAUAAGCACCGGCUAACUACGUGCCAGCAGCCGCGGUAAU